GCCUCUGAUUGUCAUCUUUGGGGGCCAGAGAAGUGAGCAGCUAUCCUUCCCAGUCCCUGGUCCCUCCAAGCAGUGACAACAAAGAAUGGACCAGGCGAAGCAUUGUGUGUAGACAGAUCUUGACACUGCUGACCAGGGACAAAAUGUCCCAUUGACAGUCAUGCUCUGGAGCGGGAUGGGCAGUGAGAGACCAGAGACCACAGGAUGGGUAAGAAAUAGCCCAGCUCAGGCUACUGGGUUGAAGAACUGCCAGAGCGUGAUCGCCGACGUGCAGAUUUCUGAUCUACGUGUAAUGUAGAAGCUGACUGUUCUGUAUCUGACGUUUCAUUUAGAGUCUAUGAAGUAGCUUAGGCCAAUUACUCAUAGACGCCUGCCCCUCCUCAGUUACCUGGACAUAUGUCUUGCGUUCUGGAAUCAAAACUAAUUCUGAAUGCAUAUCCUGAAAAUAUGGGACACUUACUCAGAUUUCACUCUUGGGUGUCAUUGGCCUUUUAAUUAUUUUCUAUCAAUAGACCGACCUUAGAUUUACUUGUCAAAAAAAGUAAGGUCAUUUUAUGAGCACUUUCAUUCCAAUUUCCUAGAUGUCUUUUCUGAUUAGAAAAACCUAUAAACUAUGUAGCUUUGAAUUUAUAGAAUCAUUAUUCCUGAAGGUUUUGCUGUCCUUUGCGAUGGCAGAGCCUGUGAUCGCAGCUCCAGGGGCCCUCAAUUCAUUUGUUUCCCUGCGUCUCCAUCUCCCCAUGUUAUCCUGUCACCCCAAAAAGCACCUGCCUGCAACACGGUCGGAAACACAAAUGCUGACCUCAAGGAGAAGCUGAAGCCAAGAGUAUUAAUCACAGUGGUGAAGAUAAGAAAGAUGACCCCAAGUAAGAAAGCCCAGAAAGGCACUUAAGAAGAAGAAAGAAAGUAAGGAAGAAACACCAUACCU
rnacentral:lncRNA from 1 species